GAUGAACGCUGACAGAAUGCUUAACACAUGCAAGUCAACUUGAACUUCGGUUUGGGUGGCGGACGGGUGAGUAACGCGUAAAGAACUUGCCUCACAGCUAGGGACAACAUUUGGAAACGAAUGCUAAUACCUGAUAUUAUGAUUUUAGGGCAUCCUAGAAUUAUGAAAGCUAUAUGCGCUGUGAGAGAGCUUUGCGUCCCAUUAGCUAGUUGGAGAGGUAACGGCUCACCAAGGCGAUGAUGGGUAGCCGGCCUGAGAGGGUGAACGGCCACAAGGGGACUGAGACACGGCCCUUACUCCUACGGGAGGCAGCAGUGGGGAAUAUUGGACAAUGGACCAAGAGUCUGAUCCAGCAAUUCUGUGUGCACGAUGAAGUUUUUCGGAAUGUAAAGUGCUUCCAGUUGGGAAGAAAAAAAUGACGGUACCAACAGAAGAAGUGACGGCUAAAUACGU
rnacentral:rRNA from 1 species